GAUUAUGGCUCAGAACGAACGCUGGUGGCGUGUCUAUACAUGCAAGUCGAGCGAGGCAGCAAUGCCGAGCGGCGAACGGGUGAGUAACGCGUAAGCAAUCUGCCCCAUAUCAGGAAAUACCCGCGCCAACGCGCGGUUAAUGUCCAGGAGAGUGGCCCCCUGCAUGGGGGGUUGACUAGAGAUUUAUCGGUAUGGGAUGAGCUUGCGUCCGAUUAGCUAGUGGCGGGGCAACGGCCCACCAAGGCGACGAUCGGUAGCCGGCCUGAGAGGGUGAUCGGCCACAUUGGGACUGAGAUACGGCCCAGACUCCUACGGGAGGCAGCAGUAGGGAAUAUUGCACAAUGGGGGAAACCCUGAUGCAGCAACGCCACGUGUGGGAAGAAGCAUUUCGGUGUGUAAACCACUGUCAUGAGGGAAUAAGGCCCGCCUUCGGGCGGGAUUGAAUGUACCUUGAGAGGAAGCACCGGCAAACUUCGUGCCAGCCGCCGC
rnacentral:rRNA from 1 species